rnacentral:lncRNA from 1 species
CUACUAAGCACUUAGCAACUUUAUCUUUAUGUUAGCUACAGCUUUCAAACCACUUGCAAGGGUAGCCCCACAUACAGCACAUUAACAGUGCCUCUAAUCAUGAGGUCACCAAAGUAUGAACCACAAGGCUAUCUCUGUCCAUGAAUAGCUGUAGUUGGCAUACCAACCAAAGAUAGAAAUGGGUGCUCCAAGCUACUGAGGUCACCUGACUUCUGGUGAGAUGGAUGCAUCUAGGAGCAACCCCAAACAAUGUACCUGCUCCUUCAAAGGAAAUGCAACCUCAUUCAGAGUUCAUAUACAACCCAGUUCACGCACUUUGGAACCACCUAUCCAUAGGCGCAAAAUGAAAGGUAGAGAGAAGGAAACAGCUUGCACGUGCAUGUCUUCCUCAAAGAAAGAACAACAAUUCCCUGUGGUUUGAUGUACAAAGAACUAGACUCCAUCCUGGUAAACAGGCCAACGAGCUAGGCUUGACUAGGCCUCUGCAUUCUCUAACUUCCUUUACCUAAUAGAAGUUGCUGUCGACAAGCAACUUCCAAGCCACAGCCCAGCCUCAUGUCAGAGGAGAGUGAACAAUUAAAGAGACAAAGUACUGAAAAAUGCAUAACAAAAGCCCUGCAAAUGGGCACCAGGAGCUCCAGGAAUGAAGCUGGCACAUGCUAAUGAUGAACAUGUUUUUGGUUAAUCUUUAAUGGGUCACAACUAAAGUGAUGGAUCGGAGAUGGUGUCAGCUGGGAGGCACACCCGUUGAGGGAGAAGGCCUUUUCAUUCGAUAUGACAGCCCCCAGCCUCUUUGUGCUCUUUUCCUCAAGUUAAUUUCUCCAAUUCAACAAGCUUUCAAGGGACAUGGUUAAAAUUGAAUUUUGAGGUUUAUGUCACUCCUUAUCCAGGCAGGCUCCUCACAGCCAGAAAGGCAGCACAGGAGCUCCAAGGAAACCCUGACAGAAGACAAGAUUUCCUCGGUCACAUGGAACUUCACAUCCAAAAGAAACAGCUGCUUACCCAUCUGGACACAAGAUUUGCAUGACAGAAGGAUACUGCUCCUGAAUGCUGGUUCCCGCAUCAGACAUGCUCCCCGCCCCCUU